UACGUAGGGGCCAAGCGUUGUCCGGAUUUAUUGGGCGUAAAGAGCUCGUAGGCGGUUCGGCAAGUCGAAUGUGAAAUCUCCACGCUCAACGUGGAGGGGUCAUUCGAUACUGCCGUGACUCGAGUCCGGUAGGGGAGUGUGGAAUUCCCGGUGUAGUGGUGAAAUGCGCAGAGAUCGGGAGGAACACCCGUAGCGAAGGCGGCACUCUGGGCCGGUACUGACGCUGAGGAGCGAAAGCGUGGGGAGCGAACAGG
rnacentral:rRNA from 1 species